CAUCCUUCAAAGAGUGCGUAACAGCUCACUAGUCGAGUGACCCUGCGCCGAAAAUGUACCGGGGCUAAGCAUACUACCGAAGCUGCGGAUUCAACUUUAGAGUUGAGUGGUAGGGGAGCGUUGCAUGCACGUAGAAGCCGUACCGUAAGGAGCGGUGGAGAGCAUGGAAGAGAGAAUGCCGGUGUGAGUAGCGAGAUGUAGGUGAGAAUCCUACACACCGAUAGCCCAAGGAUUCCAGGGGAAGGUUCGUCCGCCCUGGGUAAGUCGGGACCUAACGCGAGGCCGAAAGGCGUAGUGGAUGGAAAACAGGCAGAUAUUCCUGUACCCGCGAUGGAAAUGAAGGAAUGACGGAGAAGGCUAGUGUGAGCCACUGAACGGAUUGUGGUCGAAGCAUAUAGCAGGCUGACAGUGAAAUGCGUCAGCGGGAUGUAAGAUGUGACAGGUAAGGGAACGUCCUUGGACAAGUACUGAAGCACAUGAUGCCAGCUUCCAAGAAAAGUUUCUAGUGAUAAUUCCAUAGCGGCCCGUACCAAAACCGACACAGGUGGGCAAGGAGAGAAUCCUGAGGUGAGCGAGAGAACUGUUGCCAAGGAACUCGGCAAAAUGACUCCGUAAGUUAGCGAUAAGGAGUGCUCUUGUAAAAGAGAGCCGCAGUGAAGAGGCCCAAGCGACUGUUUAACUAAAACACAGCUCUCUGCAAAGUCGCAAGACGAAGUAUAGGGGGUGACGCCUGCCCGGUGCUGGAAGGUUAAGAGGAUUUGUCAUCCGCAAGGAGAAGCAAUGAAUUGAAGCCCCAGUGAACGGCGGCCGUAACUAUAACGGUCCUAAGGUAGCGAAAUUCCUUGUCAGGUAAGUUCUGACCCGCACGAAAGGCGUAACGAUUUGGGCGCUGUCUCGGCAGCAGACUCGGUGAAAUCUUAGUACCUGUGAAAAUGCAGGUUACCCGCAACUAGACGGAAAGACCCCAUGGAGCUUUACUGUAGCCUGAUAUUGAAUUUUGAUCAAAGAUGUACAGGAUAGGUGGGAGGCGAAGAGACGUGUACGCCAGUAUACGAGGAGCCGCUGUUGGGAUACCACUCUUGUUUGAUUGAAGUUCUAACCUGCACCCAUGAACUGGGUGAGGGACCGUGUCAGGUGGGCAGUUUGACUGGGGCGGUCGCCUCCUAAAGAGUAACGGAGGCGCCCAAAGGUACGCUCAGAUUGGAUGGAAAUCAAUCGACGAGUGCAAAUGCAGAAGCGUGCUUGACUGUGAGACAAACAAGUCGAACAGGGACGAAAGUCGGGAUUAGUGAUCCGGCGGUGCCGAAUGGAAGGGCCGUCGCUCAACGGAUAAAAGCUACCCUGGGGAUAACAGGCUGAUCUCGCCCAAGAGUUCACAUCGACGGGGAGGUUUGGCACCUCGAUGUCGGCUCAUCGCAUCCUGGGGCUG
rnacentral:rRNA from 1 species